rnacentral:rRNA from 1 species
AGCUCUGUAAGCGUAUACCAAAGUUGUUGCAGUUAAAACGCUCGUAGUCGGAUUUUGGCGUGUACUUCUGAGACCCCUGAUGGGUGUUGAAGGUUUGUUACCGCCUUUGCGGAGGGGGGUGUGGUGGUGCUUGAUUGUAUCGCUGCAUUUCCGCCGCUGUUUACUGUGAAAAAAUUAGAGUGUUCAAAGCGAGCGAUUGCCAUGAAUACAUUAGCAUGGAAUAAUAGAAUAGGACCUGGUUCUGUUUUAUUGGUUUGUCGGUAUCAGGUAAUGAUUAAGAGGGACGGUCGGGGGCAUUUGUAUUCCAGGGUUAGAGGUGAAAUUCUUAGAUCCUUGGAAGACAAACAGCUGCGAAAGCGUCUGCCAAGGACGUUUUCA